GGCCACUAUUUAGCCAUGCCACAAUACGAGAUCCCGGAUCCGGUUACCUCCCUCUUCUCCCACCCUCUAUAAUGCCUUCCUCUUCUUAUCUUCUGUUUCUUCUUCUCUUUCAUCCAUGCAUGGGAGCAAGAAGCUGCAGCACGAGCCUCUUCAUCCCUUUCCACAGCUUUCUUGAACUUUUUUCUCUGCCAAGGUGGCUUAAUUGAGAAAGAAAGUUCAGGAAUGCUGUGGGAAUGCAUGGAGAGGCUGGAAGAAUUUGGGCACCAACCCAAAUGCAUGCAGGUAAGCUUCCUUAGGUGUGCUGCAUGGUUGGGAUAUGGCUAAGUUGUCUCUAAUUCAAAAGUAUGUUGCAUAGAAGAGUCACUCAGACAGUUUGCAGCUUUUUAAUUAAUUGGUCCAUUUAUGACAUGUUAUAUAUGUGUUGUGGUUCAAAAGAGCUAACAGAGAAGCCCGAUGAUGGCUAAAUGAAUUUUUAAAUUUUUCAUAUACGAUAUCAUUAUUAUUCUAGAUUUCAUUGGAUUCUGUAUGUCUUGGCAACAGGAAGUGUUCAAGGUGAAUUUGAGUAAGAACUAUGCUGACAUGACGCUGGCAUGAGAUGUCAUGAUUUUUUUUGUUUGUUUGUUUGGUAGAAUGGGAGGCCAUAGCCUAAAAAUCUAGGGAAAAAAAGGUACAUUGUAAUCUAUCAGCUUGUUACAAAAGAGAUAAAUGGGGAUGAGCUGUUUGGAAGGAAGAUAGUCCAGAUUAACUCCACUGCCAUAUAAAUGGGUUUGCUUUCCUAUAUGUGCGUGUGAUGCCUGGAAGAAUUCCACCUCUGCUUUCAUGCUCAUUAUUUUCUGAAGAAGUGGAUUAGAAUCAUGCACAAAUGAAUUCGGAUUUCGUCCAUCAAAUUACCGUUCCUGGAUGUCAUGAUUUGAAAUUACACAAAUAAUUUAACUAUAAUCUUGUGCAGAAGACUAUUUUUCAAGAUAAUUUCUUGGAAUUUAAUUUGGGAACCUAGAUCAUGUUAAUCUAUCUAUCUAUUUAUUUGG